rnacentral:rRNA from 1 species
AUUGAACGCCGGCGGCAGGCCUAACACAUGCAAGUCGAACGGCAGCACAGAAGAGCUCGCUCUUUGGGUGGCGAGUGGCGGACGGGUGAGUAAUGUCUGGGAAACUGCCCGAUGGAGGGGGAUAACUACUGGAAACGGUAGCUAAUACCGCAUAACGUCGCAAGACCAAAGUGGUGGACCUUCGGGCCUCACACCAUCGGAUGUGCCCAGAUGGGAUUAGCUAGUAGGUGGGGUAAUGGCUCACCUAGGCGGCGAUCCCUAGCUGGUCUGAGAGGCUGACCAGCCACACUGGAACUGAGACACGGUCCAGACUCCUACGGGAGGCAGCAGUGGGGAAUAUUGCACAAUGGGCGCAAGCCUGAUGCAGCCAUGCCGCGCGUAUGAAGAAGGCCUUCGGGUUGUAAAGUACUUUCAGCGGGGAGGAAGGCGGUGAGGUUAAUAACCUCGCCGAUUGACGUUACCCGCAGAAGAAGCACCGGCUAACUCCGUGCCAGCAGCCGCCGUAA